GACGAACCGAGCGAACGUUGUCCGGAAUUAUUGGGCGUAAAGAGCUCGUAGGCGGUCUGUCGCGUCGGUCGUGAAAACUUGGGGCUUAACCCUGAGCUUGCGGUCGAUACGGGCAUGACUGGAGUUCGGUAGGGGAGACUGGAAUUCCUGGUGUAGCGGUGAAAUGCGCAGAUAUCAGGAGGAACACCGGUGGCGAAGGCGGGUCUCUGGGCCGAUACUGACGCUGAGGAGCGAAAGCGUGGGGAGCGAACAGG
rnacentral:rRNA from 1 species